rnacentral:rRNA from 1 species
UACAGAGGGUGCGAGCGUUAAUCGGAAUUACUGGGCGUAAAGCGUGCGUAGACGGCUAUCUAAGUCGGGUGUGAAAGCCCCGGGCUCAACCUGGGAAUUGCAUUCGAGACUGAAUAGCUAGGGUACGGUAGAGGGAAGCGGAAUUUCCGGUGUAGCGGUGAAAUGCGUAGAGAUCGUAAGGAAGACCAGUGGCGAAAGCGGCUUCCUGGACCAGUACCGACGUUCAGGCACGAAAGCGUGGGGAGCAAACAGG